rnacentral:rRNA from 1 species
GACGAACCGUGCGAACGUUGUUCGGAAUCACUGGGCUUAAAGGGCGCGUAGGCGGGCCGGAUAGUCUGUGGUGAAAGCCUCCAGCUUAACUGGAGAAGUGCCAUGGAUACUGCCGGUCUUUGAGGAGGGUAGGGGCAUCUGGAACGCUGGGUGGAGCGGUGAAAUGCGUUGAUAUCCAGCGGAACUCCGGUGGCGAAGGCGAGGUGCUGGACCCUUUCUGACGCUGAGGCGCGAAGGCCAGGGGAGCAAACGGG